rnacentral:rRNA from 1 species
UACGGGGGGAGCAAGCGUUGUUCGGCUUUACUGGGCGUAAAGGGCGCGUAGGCGGCCACCGCAAGUCGGUUGUGAAAUCUCUGGGCUUAACCCAGAAAGGUCAACCGAUACUGCGGGGCUAGAGUGCAGAAGGGGCAACUGGAAUUCUCGGUGUAGCGGUGAAAUGCGUAGAUAUCGAGAGGAACCCCUGCGGCGAAGGCGGGUUGCUGGGCUGACACUGACGCUGAAGCGCGAAAGCUAGGGGAGCGAACGGG